rnacentral:rRNA from 1 species
CCUACGAGAGGCAGCAGUGGGGAAUAUUGCACAAUGGGGGAAACCCUGAUGCAGCGACGCCGCGUGAGUGAAGAAGUAUUUCGGUAUGUAAAGCUCUAUCAGCAGGGAAGAAAAUGACGGUAAAUGAGUAAGAAGGCACGGCUAACGACGCGCCAGCAGCCGCGGGAAUACGUAGGGGGCAAGCGUUAUCCGGGUUUACGGGGUGUAAAGGGAGCGUAGACGGCAGCAAAAGUCUGGCGUGAAAUGCAGGGGCUUAACCCCGGACCUGCUUUGGAAACUGUGCAGCUAGAGUGCAGGUGAGGUGAGUGGACUUCCUAGUGUAGCCUUGACAUGCGUAGAUAUUAGGAGUACCACCAGUGGCGAAGGCGGCUUACUGGACUGUAACUGACGUUGAGGCUCGAAAGCGUGGGUAGCAAACAGGAUUAGCUACCCCUGUAGUC